AGCUCCAAUAGCGUAUAUUAAAAUUGUUGCGUCUAAAAAGCUCGUAGUUUGAAAACUUGCCUUGGCUUACAACUAGCACCCUAAGGGGGCUGCCGUAUGACCGGGAGCAAACAGAGAUGACUGUUUUUGCCGACUUCAUUGUCCGGCUUAUAAGAGUCAUCAAAUAUCACUUUGAUUAAAUUAGAGUGCUUAAAGCAAGUGUGUUACUUGGAUAUAAAUGCAUGGAAUGAUGGAAUAUGUUAUUGUUCUAUUUGUUGGUUUUUGAACGAUAAAAUGAUCGAAAGGAACUGUUGGGGGCAUUCGUAUUGUUGUGAGAGAGGUGAAAUUCUUAGACCACAGCAAGACGAACUACUGCGAAAGCAUUUGCCAAGAAUGUUUUCA
rnacentral:rRNA from 1 species